rnacentral:rRNA from 1 species
UACGGAGGAUGCAAGCGUUAUCCGGAAUGAUUGGGCGUAAAGCGUCCGCAGGUGGCUGUGUAAGUCUGCUGUCAAAGAGCAAAGCUCAACUUUGUAAAGGCAGUGGAAACUACACGGCUAGAGUGCGUUCGGGGCAGAGGGAAUUCCUGGUGUAGCGGUGAAAUGCGUAGAGAUCAGGAAGAACACCGGUGGCGAAGGCGCUCUGCUAGGCCGCAACUGACACUGAGGGACGAAAGCUAGGGGAGCAAACAGG